UUCGCCCGCGAAAUGUGAAACUAUAUAUUUUUAAAAUGCGUUGCGUAGUGUACGGUUGUAAUAAUAACAAUGGCAAAAAAAGUGCUACGAAGUGGAGAUUUUUUCAUUUCCCUAAGGAUAAGGCCGCAGUAAAACAAUGGAUUAAUUUUUGUCGUCGGACGGACAAAAUUAACGUUAAAAAUGCGUGCAUUUGUGAAAUGCACUUCGCGCCAGAAGCCUUCGAAAGAAAUUUGCAGUUUGAAAUGGGUUUAAGUUCGCGGAAUCCAACGAAGUUGCUACCUAACGCUUUUCCCACGUUAACCAUUGCUCCUGCAGAGGCUAAUGAACGGCAGAAAAGGAUGGAGUCUCGUUCCAAAAAAGAGAUGUUGGCAGAAAUCUUGAAGAAUACCGCCCCUGUUGAAGUAAUUCAAGAAGACGAAGUUGGAGAGGCACCUCAAACUGCAGAAGAGGAGGUUAUCGAUGAGAAAGACGAGAAAAUACUGCACUUGGAAACAGAAAUACAAAGGCUGAAUAGUGUUGUUAGUACAUUGAAUAAAUGCAAAAACGAGCAGUUAGAAGAAAUUAAACGCCUUAAGAUUUCCAUUAAAACCGCGGAAUUCCAUAGAAAUAAUUUGGAGCAAAAACUUAGCAGCAUUUUCACCAACGGCCAGAUUGAAAAAUUAAGAGACGGAAACAAACGACGCAAUUGGAAAGAAGAAGACAUAGCUAUGUCGAUCACGCUAUAUUCAACGAGCCCGAAAGCGUACAAACUCUUAAGAAGAAACAACUUUCCUCUACCAGGUGUGCGCACUCUGCAAUGGUGGUCAAAGAAAAUUGGAAUAGCUCCAGGUGUCAAAAUAAAUAAUGUCAAAAUAGAAAAUUAAAUAAUACAAUGAAAAUGCAAUCAAAUGAAUAUGUAGCUGAUUGGACGUUCGUCAACCGUGACGUAGAUGCGCAGAACCUAGAAAAUUUGAACUCAUCUUUGCGCAAUCUUUGUUUCUAUCAUUUUUGAUCCUAUACCAUGUUUUCCUGGUUUCACUGGAAUAAAAGUAUUAACGAAAAUAUUAAAUUCAUAUUUCAUAUAUACAGAUAGUUAGUUGGCUUUGAGACCACUAAAGUCUCCAGGGAUCUUGUCUAAGAUAGUGAAGGAAUGCCUUGAUUUCUUGGUGGACCUGACAUCCUACUGCACGAUCAAUCUGCAAUGGGUUCUAAGACAUAGUCAUAUCACUGGGAACUGUGAAGAAGAUGAACUAGCCAAAACAUACACCACCCUACAGUUGGACUCUGGAAUAUUUAAUCGCCAAAUAUGUUAUAAAUAUACAAGUAUUAUAGUUAAGUCACGGUGGAAACAAUCCCUGACUUACUCAACAAGCAAGCAAGCGUGGCAGGAAUGGAACAUAGGCCGCACAUGCCGACUAUGUAAGUUUAAAAGGAAUGAUAUAAUAAUUCUAGUAGGAGUGCUAACACGUUACAGUCAAAUUGACAGACAUGUCAGCAUACUAGGAGACCUUUGUACAUCUUCUAUGUGACGAUAACGUUCUAACGUUGGCUUCUCGAUAACGUCUCGGAGGUUGCUCAUUUAAAACUUUUUGUAUUGAUGAACUUUAUCAGAAGUACAACUUUAGUCUCGGUGAUAUCACAAGGGGCCUCCUAAAGGCCUAGGAGCAUCAUAAGACAACUAAUCUACCUAACCUAAUUUAAGAGAAUAACAAUCAGAACGCUUUCAUCAAGUUGUUCGCAUUUUGGAGGAGCGUUACCAGGGCCUUUGGAAUACAAAUAUGAUGGCAGAUUGCUGCUGCAGCAUUCAAAACAAGACAACAUGUCUGUAUUUGACAGUAUGUCCAAAAUAUAGCUAAU
rnacentral:misc_RNA from 1 species